CCUACGGGAGGCUGCAGUAGGGAAUAUUGCUCAAUGGGGGAAACCCUGAAGCAGCAACGCCGCGUGGAGGAUGAAGGUUUUCGGAUUGUAAAAUCCUUUUGUUAGAGAAGAUAAUGACGGUAUCUAACGAAUAAGCCCCGGCUAACUCCGUGCCAGCAGCCGCGGUAAUACGGAGGGUGCAAGCGUUCUUCGGAAUCACUGGGCGUAAAGAGCGCGUAGGCGGGUUAGAAAGUCAGAUGUGAAAUCCUAUGGCUUAACCAUAGGACUUCAUUGGAAACUGUUAGUCUAGAGUAUGGGAGAGGAAGGUGGAAUUCUUGGUGUAGCGGUAAAAUGCGUAGAGAUCAAGAGGAAUACUCAUUGCGAAGGCGACCUGCUAGAACAUAACUGACGCUGAUGCGCGAAAGCGUGGGGAGCAAACAGGAUUAGAUACCCGUGUAGUC
rnacentral:rRNA from 1 species